GAUUAUGGCUCAGGAUGAACGCUAGCGACAGGCUAACACAUGCAAGUCGAGGGGCAGCAUAAAAGUAGCAAUACUUGGUGGCGACCGGCGCACGGGUGAGUAACGCGUAUGCAACCUACCUAUCAGAGGGGAAUAACCCGGCGAAAGUCGGACUAAUACCGCAUAAAACAGGGACACCGCAUGGUGAUAUUUGUUAAAGAAAUUCGCUGAUAGAUGGGCAUGCGUUCCAUUAGGUAGUUGGUGAGGUAACGGCUCACCAAGCCGACGAUGGAUAGGGGAACUGAGAGGUUGGUCCCCCACACUGGUACUGAGACACGGACCAGACUCCUACGGGAGGCAGCAGUGAGGAAUAUUGGUCAAUGGGCGAGAGCCUGAACCAGCCAAGUCGCGUGAAGGAAGAAGGAUCUAUGGUUCGUAAACUUCUUUUGCAGGGGAAUAAAGUGCAGGACGUGUCCUGUUUUGUAUGUACCCUGAGAAUAAGGAUCGGCUAACUCCGUGCCAGCCGCCGC
rnacentral:rRNA from 1 species